AGGCGAAACCCCUUCGGGGGUCCGGGGUGGGUGGCAUCCCCCCGCUGAUGAGCCUGCCGAAC
rnacentral:hammerhead_ribozyme from 2 species